CCUACGGGGGGCAGCAGUAGGGAAUAUUGCUCAAUGGGGGAAACCCUGAAGCAGCAACGCCGCGUGGAGGAUGAAGGUUUUCGGAUUGUAAACCCCUUUUGUUAGAGAAGAGAAUGACGGUAUCUAACGAAUAAGUAGCGGCUAACACCGUGCCAGCAGCCGCGGUAAUACGGAGGGGGCAAGCGUUACACGGAAUCACUGGGCGUAAAGAGCGCGUAGGCGGGUUUGCAAGUCAGAUGUAAAAUCCUAUGGCUUAACCAUAGAACUGCAUUUGAAACUGUUAUUCUCGUGUAUGGGAGAGGUAGGUGUAUUUCUUGUUGUGGGGGUAAAUCCUUAGAGAUCAUGAGG
rnacentral:rRNA from 1 species